rnacentral:misc_RNA from 1 species
UAACUCUCAACCUCCUUUCUUGUUCUCUGUGGGCGGGAUGGGGCUGGUUGGAUCGUGAGCGCUGCCGGAACGUUCGUUCGGGCUCGCUUGAAAUGGAUCGGUGGUGACUUUGGCUGGCUUUCCGAAAGCUCCGAAGACCCGGCGUGAUAGAGAUGUUUCGUCGAGGGACUCGGGUUGACUAGGGGCUCUGUGCCUGGCCGCCUUACCUUUGAUUUUCCUAUCC